rnacentral:rRNA from 1 species
UACAGGGGGUGCAAACGUUGCUCGGAAUCAUUGGGCGUAAAGCGCACGUAGGCGGUCUGUUAUGUCGGAUGUGAAAGCCCUUGGCUCAACUGAGGAAGUGCAUCCGAAACUGGCAGGCUAGAGUACUAAAGAGGGUCGCGGAAUUCCCGGUGUAGCGGUGAAAUGCGCAGAUAUCAGGAGGAACACCGGUGGCGAAGGCGGGACUCUGGGCCAGUACUGACGCUGAGGAGCGAAAGCGUGGGGAGCGAACAGG